rnacentral:rRNA from 1 species
UACGGAGGGGGCAAGCGUUAAUCGGAAUUACUGGGCGUAAAGCGUGCGUAGGUGGUUCGUUAAGUCCGUUGUGAAAGCCCCGAGCUCAACUUGGGAAUUGCAGUGGAUACUGGCGAGCUGGAGUGCGGUAGAGGAAGGUGGAAUUCCCGGUGUAGCGGUGAAAUUCGUAGAUAUCGGGAGGAACACCUGUGGCGAAGGCGGCCGCCUGGACGAUAACUGACGCUGAGACGCGAAAGCGUGGGUAGCAAACAGG